GACGUAGGGCGCGAGCGUUGUCCGGAUUUAUUGGGCGUAAAGAGCUCGUAGGCGGCUCGUUGCGUCGGCUGUGAAAACCCGCAGCUCAACUGUGGGCUUGCAGCCGAUACGGGCGGGCUGGGAUUCGGUAGGGGAGACUGGAAUUCCUGGUGUAGCGGUGAAAUGCGCAGAUAUCAGGGAGGGAACACCGGUGGCGAAGGCGGGUCUCUGGGCCGAUAUCGA
rnacentral:rRNA from 1 species